UACGGAGGGAGCUAGCGUUGUUCGGAAUUACUGGGCGUAAAGCGCGCGUAGGCGGCUUUGUAAGUUAGAGGUGAAAGCCCGGGGCUCAACCCCGGAAUUGCCUUUAAGACUGCAUCGCUUGAAUCCGGGAGAGGUGAGUGGAAUUCCGAGUGUAGAGGUGAAAUUCGUAGAUAUUCGGAAGAACACCAGUGGCGAAGGCGGCUCACUGGACCGGUAUUGACGCUGAGGUGCGAAAGCGUGGGGAGCAAACA
rnacentral:rRNA from 1 species